AACCUACCUAUCAGGAGGGGAAUAACCCGGCGAAAGUCGGACUAAUACCGCAUAAAACAGGGGCACCGCAUGGUGAUAUUUGUUAAAGAAAUUCGCUGAUAGAUGGGCAUGCGUUCCAUUAGGGUAGUUGGUGAGGUAACGGCUCACCAAGCCGACGAUGGAUAGGGGAACUGAGAGGUUGGUCCCCCCACACUGGUACUGAGACACGGACCAGACUCCUACGGGAGGCAGCAGUGAGGAAUAUUGGUCAAUGGGCGGGAGCCUGAACCAGCCAAGUCGCGUAGAAGGAAGAAGGAUCUAUGGUUCGUAAACUUCUUUUGCAGGGGAAUAAAGUGCAGGACGUGUCCUGUUUUGUAUGUACCCUGAGAAUAAGGAUCGGCUAACUCCGUGCCAGCCGCCGC
rnacentral:rRNA from 1 species